AUGAGGUUCCCUGCUCAGCUCCUGGGGCUGCUCAUGCUCUGGAUCCCUGGAACCAGUGGGGAUGUUGUGAUGACCCAGACUCCCCUCUCCCUCUCCGUCAUCUCUGGAGAGCCCGUCUCCAUCUCCUGCAGGGCUAGUCAGAGCAUCCUACAUAGUAAUGGAAACACCUAUUUGAAUUGGUUUCUACAGAAGCCAGGCCAGGCUCCACAGCUCCUGAUCUAUUUGGUUUCCAACCGGGCUUCUGGGGUCCCAGACAAGUUCAGUGGCAGUGGGUCAGGGACAGAUUUCACACUGAAGAUCAGCAGGGUGGAGGCUGAGGACAUUGGAGUAUAUUACUGCAUGCAAGCUACACAUUAUCCACCCACAGUGGUACAGCCCCGAACACAAACCUCUCUGCUUGGCUUGGGCCCAGUUGCCCACAUGUGUGGCUUGUCUGGGGAGCAGCCCAGCACAUUUUCUGUCUCUAAAAGAGGAAGACAUUGGAGUACUCAGGGGAAUAGUUUGGUGCUGGGGGCUGUAGGUCAUGAAACCCUCAGGCUCACCUCAGGAACCACCUGUUGA